UACAGAGGGGGCAAGCGUUGUUCGGAAUUACUGGGCGUAAAGGGCGCGUAGGCGGCCUUCUAAGUCGAACGUGAAAUCCCUGGGCUCAACCCAGGAACUGCGUCCGAUACUGGAAGGCUUGAAUCCGGGAGAGGGAUGCGGAAUUCCAGGUGUAGCGGUGAAAUGCGUAGAUAUCAGGAAGAACACCCGUGGCGAAGGCGGUUCUCUGGGACGGUACUGACGCUGAGACGCGAAAGCGUGGGGAGCGAACAGG
rnacentral:rRNA from 1 species